GCGUGUUCACCUAGAUUCAUCUCCCACCAACUCACCGGCACAGCUGCACCUAAUCAACUCAUCAACUAAGCCCCGGCUCAUCCCUCCAGUCUCUGCCAGCUCGUCCAGUCUAGCUUGUGGUUCAUACCUUCAGUCUGCCGCAGUUUCCAGUAAUGUCCAGCUCCUUCCUCGUCACCUGUUUCCUGUUUGGCUCCUCGUACCUGCUCCAGUCCAGCUCUGCCACCGGCUCACUACUGGCCUCUUGCUUUCUGUGUGGAACAUCGCCUCGUCGCCUGUCCAGCUCUGCCACAAAUCUCAAUUGCCAACCGGAUGGAAUGGCCCUGAAGCCAUUCCAUCCUACCAUACUGUUCGCAAUGAAUCCUAUAGAGAACUGCUCCUACCUCAGAGUCUGCGCUGCAUUUCUGGGUCCAAAGUUAAGUCAUUAUAACAAACAUAGCCAUGCUGUAAAUGGCAAAAUAUUUUGCAUGAAAAACCAGAAACCGAUAAUAUUGUCUCAUUCACUGAAUUAUGGAGUCCUUUCAGUUUUAGACAUUCAUGCACAUCUGAACUGUGUGUACCAGAGUGCAUGGACUCUUAAAUUGCCAGAAAGUAAAACAGCUCAGAGAGGAAAUUUCUUCAGUAUGGGAUGGAAACACCACUGACUCAGUGUUUCAGCCAAACAUGCUGUAAUCUGUAAAUCGGAUUAUCAGUAAUUUUCUAGUAGAGUUGACUGAUAAAUAACGAUAUAGUUGAUUAUUUGUCUCAUCACUUAUUGAUACAAAGUCAUUUCCCCCCUCUGACUAUUAAACAGAGCUGAAAAUUUCAGCAAAUGUUGUAGUCCAUUUAGCUGCAGAUACUGGUUCCAGAAAAUCUCUGACUGAACUUGGAUCCGAUCAGAAACUUGAAGCUCCUUUUUGAAAUACAACACCAAUAAAUAUUUUUCACAAGGUG